GAUGUUGUGGCUCAGUGGUAGAGCAUCUGCUUUUCAUAUAGUGGUUUCAGGUUCAAUCCCUGGCGUUUUCA
rnacentral:tRNA from 1 species